GAUGAACGCUAGCGGCAGGCCUAACACAUGCAAGUCGAGGGGUAGAGGAAGCUUGCUUCCUUGAGACCGGCGCACGGGUGCGUAACGCGUAUGCAAUCUGCCUUGUACUGAGAGAUAGCCCAGAGAAAUUUGGAUUAAUACCUCAUAGCAUUAUGAAAUCGCAUGGUUUUAUAAUUAAAGUUCCAACGGUACAAGAUGAGCAUGCGUCCCAUUAGUUAGUUGGUAAGGUAACGGCUUACCAAGACGAUGAUGGGUAAGGGUCCUGAGAGGGAGAUCCCCCACACUGGUACUGAGACACGGACCAGACUCCUACGGGAGGCAGCAGUGAGGAAUAUUGGUCAAUGGACGCAAGUCUGAACCAGCCAUGCCGCGUGCAGGAUGAAGCAUCUAUGGUGUGUAAACUGCUUUUAUACGGGAAGAAACACUCCUACGUGUAGGAACUUGACGGUACCGUAAGAAUAAGGAUCGGCUAACUCCGUGCCAGCCGCCGCCGUAAAAC
rnacentral:rRNA from 1 species